rnacentral:rRNA from 1 species
UACAGAGGGUGCAAGCGUUGUUCGGAAUUAUUGGGCGUAAAGCGCGUGUAGGCGGUCUUGUAAGUCGGGUGUGAAAGCCCUCAGCUCAACUGAGGAAGUGCGCCCGAAACUGCUUGACUUGAGUGUCGGAGAGGGUGGCGGAAUUCCGCAAGUAGAGGUGAAAUUCGUAGAUAUGCGGAGGAACACCGGUGGCGAAGGCGGCCACCUGGACGACUACUGACGCUGAGACGCGAAAGCGUGGGGAGCAAACAGG